GAUGAACGCUGGCGGCGUGCCUAAUACAUGCAAGUCGAGCGAACGGACGAGAAGCUUGCUUUUCUGAUGUUAGCGGCGGACGGGUGAGUAACACGUGGAUAACCUACCUAUAAGACUGGGAUAACUUCGGGAAACCGGAGCUAAUACCGGAUAAUAUUUUGAACCGCAUGGUUCAAAAGUGAAAGACGGUCUUGCUGUCACUUAUAGGUGGAUCCGCGCUGCAUUAGCUAGUUGGUAAGGUAACGGCUUACCAAGGCAACGAUGCAUAGCCGACCUGAGAGGGUGAUCGGCCACACUGGAGCUGAGACACGGUCCAGACUCCUACGGGAGGCAGCAGUAGGGAAUCUUCCGCAAUGGGCGAAAGCCUGACGGAGCAACGCCGCGUGAGUGAUGAAGGUCUUCGGAUCGUAAAACUCUGUUAUUAGGGAAGAACAUAUGUGUAAGUAACUGUGCACAUCUUGACGGUACCUAAUCAGAAAGCCACGGCUAACUACGUG
rnacentral:rRNA from 1 species